rnacentral:rRNA from 1 species
GCUUGUCUCAAAGAUUAAGCCAUGCAUGUCUAAGUUUAAAUAGAAAACAGUGAAACUGCGAAUGGCUCAUUAAAUAAUUUUGCAUAUACAAGAUAGUCAACUCUACUUGGAUAACCGUAGUAAUUCUAGAGCUAAUACAUGCGCAAAUUCCCGACUGUCGCAAGGCGGAAAGGAUGUAUUUAUUAGAUCCAACCAGCCCGGUUCGCCGGAGUCCCUGGUGAGUCAUAAUAACUGAGCGAAUCGCAUGGCCUUGUGCCGGCGAUGGUUCAUUCAAGUUUCUGCCCUAUCAGCUUUCGAUGGUAGGGUAUUGGCCUACCAUGGCGUUAACGGGUAACGGAGAAUUAGGGUUCGAUUCCGGAGAGGGAGCCUGAGAAACGGCUACCACAUCCAAGGAAGGCAGCAGG